rnacentral:rRNA from 1 species
AGAACGAACGCUGGCGGCAUGCCUAACACAUGCAAGUCGAACGCUUCCGGGGCUUCGGUCGCGGAGGAGUGGCGCACGGGUGAGUAGCGCGUGGGAACCUGCCCUGUUGUGGGGGAUAACCGAGGGAAACUUCGGCUAAUACCGCAUACGCCCCGGGACUUGGUCUUCGGAUUAGGUCUGGGGGGAAAGAUUGAUCGCAGCAGGAAGGGCCCGCGUCGGAUUAGCUGGUUGGUGGGGUAACGGCUCACCAAGGCGAUGAUCCGUAGCUGGUCUGAGAGGAUGAUCAGCCACACUGGGACUGAGACACGGCCCAGACUCCUACGGGAGGCAGCAGUGGGGAAUAUUGGACAAUGGGGGCAACCCUGAUCCAGCAAUGCCGCGUGAGUGAUGAAGGCCUUAGGGUUGUAAAGCUCUUUCGCCCGCGACGAUGAUGACGGUAGCGGGAGAAGAAGCCCGGCUAACUUCGUGCCAGCAGCCGCGGU